GCUUGCACUGAAUGAGAUUUUAACACGAAGUGAGUGGCGGACGGGUGAGUAACACGUGGGUAACCUGCCCAGAAGCAGGGGAUAACACCUGGAAACAGAUGCUAAUACCGUAUAACAGAGAAAACCGCCUGGUUUUCUUUUAAAAGAUGGCUCUGCUAUCACUUCUGGAUGGACCCGCGGCGCAUUAGCUAGUUGGUGAGGUAACGGCUCACCAAGGCGAUGAUGCGUAGCCGACCUGAGAGGGUAAUCGGCCACAUUGGGACUGAGACACGGCCCAGACUCCUACGGGAGGCAGCAGUAGGGAAUCUUCCACAAUGGACGCAAGUCUGAUGGAGCAACGCCGCGUGAGUGAAGAAGGGUUUCGGCUCGUAAAGCUCUGUUGUUAAAGAAGAACGUGGGUGAGAGUAACUGUUCACCCAGUGACGGUAUUUAACCAGAAAGCCACGGCUAACUACGUGCCAGCAGCCGCGGUAAUACGUAGGUGGCAAGCGUUAUCCGGAUUUAUUGGGCGUAAAGCGAGCGCAGGCGGUCUUUUAAGUCUAAUGUGAAAGCCUUCGGCUCAACCGAAGAAGUGCAUUGGAAACUGGGAGACUUGAGUGCAGAAGAGGACAGUGGAACUCCAUGUGUAGCGGUGAAAUGCGUAGAUAUAUGGAAGAACACCAGUGGCGAAGGCGGCUGUCUGGUCUGUAACUGACGCUGAGGCUCGAAAGCAUGGGUAGCGAACAGGAUUAGAUACCCUGGUAGUCCAUGCCGUAAACGAUGAUUACUAAGUGUUGGAGGGUUUCCGCCCUUCAGUGCUGCAGCUAACGCAUUAAGUAAUCCGCCUGGGGAGUACGACCGCAAGGUUGAAACUCAAAAGAAUUGACGGGGGCCCGCACAAGCGGUGGAGCAUGUGGUUUAAUUCGAAGCUACGCGAAGAACCUUACCAGGUCUUGACAUCUUCUGCCAACCUAAGAGAUUAGGCGUUCCCUUCGGGGACAGAAUGACAGGUGGUGCAUGGUUGUCGUCAGCUCGUGUCGUGAGAUGUUGGGUUAAGUCCCGCAACGAGCGCAACCCUUAUUACUAGUUGCCAGCAUUCAGUUGGGCACUCUAGUGAGACUGCCGGUGACAAACCGGAGGAAGGUGGGGACGACGUCAAAUCAUCAUGCCCCUUAUGACCUGGGCUACACACGUGCUACAAUGGAUGGUACAACGAGUCGCGAAACCGCGAGGUUUAGCUAAUCUCUUAAAACCAUUCUCAGUUCGGACUGUAGGCUGCAACUCGCCUACACGAAGUCGGAAUCGCUAGUAAUCGCGGAUCAGCAUGCCGCGGUGAAUACGUUCCCGGGCCUUGUACACACCGCCCGUCACACCAUGAGAGUUUGUAA
rnacentral:rRNA from 1 species